rnacentral:lncRNA from 10 species
UUACUGUCCAAGUGGUAGCUCUUUAGUAAACUCUACACAUUUGAUUUCUUAGAGUUAUUUAUUAAUCCAAAUCCACUUUCUUACCAACCCCCAGGCUGAACAAUUUUAUCUGGGAAGAGAUGUGGCCAACUUUCUAGGGCUGACUUUGAUCCAGUAGAACAUGUCUUUUACAAGCAUUUACUUUACCAACUGGGAGCUCAGUACCCUCCCCUGUGAAAAACACCCAGGCAAGUCCAAGUCCCACAGAGUUGUUGCAACAGAGGGAAAAACAAGUGGGAUUCCAUUCAGCUUGGCUCCUAAAAAGAUCCUUAUUGGUGCUUGUGCCUGUACUACUAAGAGAGUUGUGGAAACCUUGGAAUGUGCCCAGAGUAGAGCAAUGGAAAUGAUUGGGAAAGAGGAUCUAUGAGAAAAGGCUCAAAGAAUUGAUAUGGGUGUAGAAAUAAAAUUGUGUGGAAUUACAGAUAAACUAUUUCAGGAGUAUGAAGUUAAACAAACAAGAGAAGAUGAAGGAGGAAAAGAAGAAGAUGGAGGAGGACAAAGUUUUCAGAAGUGCUUAUUAGAGCUAUUACAUGCCAAAUAUCUACUCUGUGGGAAAAGCAAAUUUCACAUUUUUAUCAACUCUGUAUUCACACAUCUGAUCAAGAGAUGUUAGAAGCCAG